rnacentral:rRNA from 1 species
ACAGCAGCCGCGGUAACACGGGGGGAGCGAACGUUGUUCGGAAUCACUGGGCGUAAAGGGCGUGUAGGCGGUCCGGUAAGUGAGAUGUGAAAGCCCUCGGCUCACCCGAGGAACUGCAUCUCAUACUGCUGGACUUGAGUGCGGGAGAGGAUGGGGGAAUUCCUGGUGUAGCGGUGAAAUGCGUAGAUAUCAGGAGGAACACCGGUGGCGAAGGCGCCCAUCUGGCCCGUUACUGACGCUGAGGCGCGAAAGCUAGGGGAGCAAACGGGAUUAGAUACCCCGGUAGUCCUAGCCGUAAACGGUGGGCACUAGGUGUUGGAGGCAUUGACCCCUCCAGUGCCGCAGCUAACGCAUUAAGUGCCCCGCCUGGGGAGUACGGUCGCAAGACUGAAACUCAAAGGAAUUGACGGGGGCCCGCACAAGG